rnacentral:rRNA from 1 species
UACAGAGGGGGCAAGCGUUGUUCGGAAUUACUGGGCGUAAAGGGCGCGUAGGCGGCCUGUUAAGUCGGACGUGAAAUCCCUCGGCUCAACCGGGGAACUGCGUCCGAUACUGGCGGGCUUGAAUUCGGGAGAGGGAUGUGGAAUUCCAGGUGUAGCGGUGAAAUGCGUAGAUAUCGUGAGGAACACCAGAGGCGAAGGCGGCUACCUGGACAAUUGCUGACGCUCAGGCACGAAAGCGUGGGGAGCAAAAGGG